AUCACACUACUGCCAUCUAUUUAUCAAUUUUAUGCAUCAAAUGUGUCAACUGUGCCUAUUACACUGACUACAGAUUCAACGCUGUUGAUUUUCUUGAAAUUCAUAAUUACCUAGUAAUUAUGCGACGUUAAACAAUGUUUUGAUAGUCCUGUACUUUUAGAAACGUCAUUCGAAAAGGGUAUUAAAGUAUACAAGUUUCUAAACGUGCAAUACUAAUAUAUGUACUAUUUAAGUGUGUAGUAAAAGGUCGGAAGGGAAUAAUUUAAUUCUAUUACUACGCGGUUAUGGUAGUGAUUUAAUUUAAUAUGAUAAUACUAUUUUUCGACUUAACAAUUAAGUAAUAUAUUUGAUGUCCUCAUAAUUUAAGUUUAAUAUCGGUAACAAACAUGGCAGCAACAGAAGAUGCAAAACUUGAUUUUAAGGUUACAAUGGAAUAUGCUGAUUCUCAAAAUGUCGAGGGUGAGAUGACAGUAGGAGCCAAACAAAAAUCAAAUCUUGGAGAACCUGACUUUAAUACUUUAGAUGAACCAAUUAAAGAUACAAUUCUCAGGGAUGUUUGUGCAGUAGGCAAAAAGUUUUAUCAUGUUUUAUAUCCUAAAGAAAAGAAAAGCUUAUUAAAAGAAUGGGAUCUUUGGGGACCAUUAGUGUUAUGUACAUUCAUGGCAAUGACAUUACAAGGUUCUUCUGACAGAGCAAAUGAUCCAAAUGAUGGGGGACCAGAAUUUACAGAGGUUUUUGUGAUUGUGUGGAUUGGAUCUAUGAUUGUUACAUUAAAUUCUAAAUUACUUGGUGGCAACAUAUCUUUCUUCCAAAGUAUUUGUGUCCUAGGAUACUGCUUAUUACCAACUGCAAUUGCUCUAAUUCUUUGUAGGAUUAUAUUAAUGGUAGAACAAACUACUUUCUUAUUUAGUUUAAGGUUUAUUAUCUCUAUGAUUGGAUUCAUAUGGGCUACAUAUGCAUCAAUGGUAUUUCUUGGUGACAGUCAACCUGCAGGGAGAAAAGCUUUAGCUGUAUAUCCAAUAUUUUUAUUCUAUUUUGUCAUUUCAUGGUUGGUUAUAUCUCGUACUAGAUAAAAUAAAAUAUAAAUCGAUUACAACAACAGGACUGUACAUUGUUCCAUAUUGGUGCACAAAGUAAAGAAGAAAUUAAAGGGUCUAAGAUAUUGUCCUGCAUAAGAGGUACCAGGUUGUUUCAAAGAUGUUCCUGGUCUGGGCAUAGAAGAUAUCGUAUAAUUAUCUAGUAAAGUCUCAGCAAUACCUUCUUCUUCUCCUUCUAUGUCAUCUACGUAUACUUGUAAUGUUAAGGUACGCAUUUUUAAUACCCAGACAGCCUGUAAUUAAGAAUACUAUAUUCUCAGAGAAUUAGCUGAAUCAUUAUUAUUAUUAAUACAUAUUAAUAAGAAACAUAUACCUGAUCAA